UAUUUUAUUUUGAAUCUUAGAGACAACCUUGGAAGACUGGUACAGGCUGGAAUUGAAAUUGCAAACCUAUUUCUGAAUAAAGGGGAGACAAUCAUAUACACAGUUGGGAGGGAUCCACAGUACCAGAAUAAUGUUGUUGCUGAUACUGCCCCGUUGGUUACAUUGCCCGUCGUCGUAUGCACUUUUGCUUCAU